rnacentral:tRNA from 1 species
GCCUGGCUGGCUCAGUUGAUAGAGCACGACUCUUAGUCUCAGGGUCAUGAGUUCAAGCCCCAUGUUGGGCA